rnacentral:rRNA from 1 species
UACGGGGGGGGCAAGCGUUGUUCGGAAUUACUGGGCGUAAAGGGCUCGUAGGCGGCCAACUAAGUCGGACGUGAAAUCCCUCGGCUUAACCGGGGAACUGCGUCCGAUACUGGAUGGCUUGAGUUUGGGAGAGGGAUGCGGAAUUCCAGGUGUAGCGGUGAAAUGCGUAGAUAUCUGGAGGAACACCGGUGGCGAAGGCGGCAUCCUGGACCAACACUGACGCUGAUGCGCGAAAGCCAGGGGAGCGAACGGG